CCAAUAGCGUAUAUUUGGUUUCUUGCGGUAUCAGGACUGUUACUUUGAUUUCAUUAGUGUGUUUAAAGCAGGCUCUCGCUUGAAUACAUUAGUAUGGAAUAAUGAAAUAGGACGUUUGAUUCUAUUUUGUUGGUUUCUAGGAUCGACGUAAUGAUUAAUAGGGAUAGUUGGGGGCAUUAGUAUUCAAUUGUCAGAGGUGAAAUUCUUGGAUUUAUUGAAGACUAACUACUGCGAAAGCAUUUGCCAAGGAUGUUUUCAUUAAUCAAGAACGAAAGUUAGGGGAUCGAAGACGAUCAGAUACCGUCGUAGUCUUAACCAUAAACUAUGCCGACUAGGGAUCGGAUGAUGUUAAUUUUUUAAUGACUCAUUCGGCGCCUUACG
rnacentral:rRNA from 1 species